GCCAAAAGCACCCGUAUGAAUUAGGAUUGAUCAGUAGAAUACAUGCAAAGAACUGUAGUCCUCAAGUAUAUACGAUCUACUUGGCAAGGAAAGCAGGUGGGAAUGAAUCCGCUGAAACCUUUGACUUGCUGAAAGCCUAAUCUGAGUUUCUAGACUAGACCACAAGCUCCAUCAGAACGGGUGGUCAUUCGACCAGGAGUUCAACUGGGAGAGUGAGAGUUUGACUGCUUG